AUUGAACGCUGGCGGCAGGCCUAACACAUGCAAGUCGAGCGAGCGGCGGACGGGUGAGUAUUGUAUGGGGGCUGCCCGUUAGAGGGGGGUAACUACUGUAGACGGUGGCUAAUACCGCAUACUGUCUGAUUGCCCCUAUGGGAUUAGCGAGUAGGUGAGGUAAUGGCUUACCUAGGCGACGAUCACUAGCUGGUCUGAGAGGAUGACCAGCCACACUGGGACUGAGACACGGCCCAGACUCCUACGGAGGCAGCAGUGGGGAAUAUUGCACAAUGGGCGCAAGCCUGAUGCAGCCAUGCCGCGUGUAUGAAGAAGGCCCUAGGGUUGUAAAGUACUUUCAGUCGGGAGGCGUUACUGACAGAAGAAGCACCGGCUAACUCCGUGCCAGCAGCCGCGGUAAUUC
rnacentral:rRNA from 1 species